rnacentral:rRNA from 1 species
UACGUAGGGGGCAAGCGUUGUCCGGAAUUAUUGGGCGUAAAGCGCGCGCAGGCGGCCAUUUAAGUCUGGUGUUUAAUCCCGGGGCUCAACUCCGGGUCGCACUGGAAACUGGGUGGCUUGAGUGCAGAAGAGGAGAGUGGAAUUCCACGUGUAGCGGUGAAAUGCGUAGAGAUGUGGAGGAACACCAGUGGCGAAGGCGACUCUCUGGGCUGUAACUGACGCUGAGGCGCGAAAGCGUGGGUAGCAAACAGG